ensembl:lncRNA
CGAGAGACUUCUUUUCCAUAACAGUUUGCAUUAAAUAUCUAUUUUUUCUAUCACAAAAUCCUGUUUCUUAUACAUCUCCGUAAAAGGUUUUCUUAAACAGACAAACACCUUUACCCUUUUACAUCUUUUCAGUGGCAAUGUGGCUCCCAACAGCGGUGGUACUGUUCCUGGGUGCAGCACCUGACCUCUUCUUCAGCCAGCAGUCCUUGGAUGAGUCCUUCAGUGACACCCGAGAAGUGUCUCACUGCUCAAAGGGAUUCGUGGUUGACAAAGACUUUUUCUGGAAUGACAUUCUGAAGGUGUAUGAACGGGACCUACAUCUUUGCCAGCUUGCCUGCACUAACCCUAACCCUACUUCAGCUACGUGG